UACCUGCAGCUCGAGUGGUAACCGCUUUUAUUGGGCCUAAAGCGUCCGUAGCCGGUUUGGUAAAUAUCUGGGUAAAUCGUGAGGCUUAACUUCACGAAUUUCGGAUAGACUGCCAGACUUGGGAUCGGGGGAGGUCAGAGGUACUCCAGGGGUAGCGGUGAAAUGUUGUAAUCCUUGGAGGACCACCGGUAGCGAAGGCGUCUGACUAGAACGAGUCCGACGGUGAGGGACGAAGCCCUGGGGCGCAAACCGGAUUAGAUACCCGGGUAGUCCAGGGUGUAAACAAUGUGGGCUUUGUAUUGGAGGUCCUACGUGGGCGUCCAGUGCAGAAGAGAAGUUGUUAAGCCCACCGCCUGGGAAGUACGGUCGCAAGGCUAGAAACUUAAAGGAAUUGGCGGGGGAGCACCACGAAGGCGUGAAGCUUGCGGUUC
rnacentral:rRNA from 1 species